ensembl:snoRNA
CUCGAGGGUGAUGAAAAAGCAUCCCUAGGUGUGGUUGUGGCAUCUUGGUCACCUAUGUGCCACCUGCCAGUGCAAGGAUUUGUCAUAGUUAUAGUGACCGUG